UCCGGUUGAUCCUGCCGGACCUGACUGCUAUCGGAUUGGUACUAAGCCAUGCGAGUCAUUGUAGCAAUACAAGGCGGACGGCUCAGUAACACGUAGUCAACCUAACUCGUGGACGUGGAUAACCUCGGGAAACUGAGAAUAAACCACGAUAGAUCAUAGUGCCUGGAAUGGCUUAUGGUCCAAACAGUUUACUGCCAUGGGAUGGGACUGCGGCCUAUCAGCUUGUUGGUGAGGUAAUGGCCCACCAAGGCGAUUACAGGCACGGGCUCUGAGAGGAGAAGCCCGGAGAUGGGUACUGAGACACGGACCCAGGCCCUAUGGGGCGCAGCAGGCGAGAAACCUUAGCAAUGUGCGAAAGCACGACUGGGUCAGUCCGAGUGAUUCCUGAUAAAGGAGUCUUUUGCUUGUCCUAAAAGCACAGGUGAAUAAGGGGUGGGCAAGUCUGGUGUCAGCCGCCGCGGUAAUACCAGCACCUCGAGUGGUCAGGACGUUUAUUGGGCCUAAAGCAUCCGUAGCCGGCUUUGCAAGUCUUCGGUUAAAUCCACCUGCUCAACAGAUGGGCCGCUGGAGAUACUACAGAGCUAGGGAGUGGGAGAGGCAGACGGUAUUCAGUGGGUAGGGGUAAAAUCCUCUGAUCCAUUGAGGACCACCAGUGGCGAAGGCGGUCUGCCAGAACACGUUCGACGGUGAGGGAUGAAAGCUGGGGGAGCAAACCGGAUUAGAUACCCGGGUAGUCCCAGCUGUAAACGAUGCAAACUCGGUGAUGCAUUGGCUUAUGGCCAAUGCAGUGCCGCAGGGAAGCCGUUAAGUUUGCCGCCUGGGAAGUACGGACGCAAGUCUGAAACUUAAAGGAAUUGGCGGGGGAGCACCACAAGGGGUGAAGCCUGCGGUUCAAUUGGAGUCAACGCCAGGAAUCUUACCCGGGGAGACAGCAGAAUGAAGGUCAAGCUGAAGACUUUACCAGACAAGCUGAGAGGAGGUGCAUGGCC
rnacentral:rRNA from 1 species